rnacentral:misc_RNA from 1 species
GAAAAAAAAAAAAUCUAGUUAUUACUUACAUUAUUUAGAACAAAAUAUUUCACAAAAAAACUAGGAAGACAAGACAUUCCUAACUAAUUGUUAAAUUGCAUCCUUGCAGUUACUAAAAAAUAUUUGUUAAACUUAAAUUUGCUAUAGGAAAUCAUACACACUGUUUCUACAUCUUAUUUAAUACCCCAAGGAUGUAGUAAUAAAAUUGUAAGAUGCAAUCACAGUAUCAGGUGGUAAUAUUGACAAGAAUCUGACUGCAUAAUAGCAUCAUCAAGAAUCCUGCAUAAAUUGUACCAAUCACCUUCUGUUCCCAUAAAUGGCACAAUGAAGGAAAACAAUCUAAAUUUGGUAGAAUAACGCAAGCACAAAAGUACUUUGUCAGUUCACUUGCAAAGAGAGAUGUACCUUGGGUCCCUUUACUGAAA